CGGGGCAUAGCGCAGUCCGGCAGCGCGGAAGUUUCGGGAACUUCAGGUCGCAGGUUCAAAUCCUGCUGCCCCGACCA
rnacentral:tRNA from 1 species